AUGCUCACUUUAGCAGUACAUAUACUAAAACUGAAAUGAUACAGAGAUUAGCAUGGCCCCUGAACAAGGAUGACAGGCAAAUUCGCGAAGCAUUCCAUAUUUAA
ensembl:snRNA U6 U6 spliceosomal RNA